CUCUACUCCCGGAAGCUGGUUUCAUGUGGUGACUUAGAUGUUUCCAUCGCUGUAUCUAGCACCAUUUGAAAUCAGUGUUUUAGGAGUAAGAAAUGCAGCAAGCAAAAGAAAAGGAAACCGAAUGUGACAUGAUCUGAGUUAUGAUUGUAACGCAUGUAUUGAUAAGCUAACUUAGAUAUGCUCUAACUGGAUGUCUCCACAUGCUCUGUUUUUAAACCAGCUGGCUUGCCCCUUUGUGACAGCAUCUUUCAAUUCCAUGUGCAAACGUAACAAAAUGCAACAACACAUAAAAAAAAAAAAUUUAAAUCUUUAAAACAUUAUUUUGUAAUUAUACUAGUAUAAUGUUAGGAGACACACUGCUUAAAGGACAGAUAUAUGUUAAAGUGUACCUCUUAUGAAUAAUUUAGCUUACCUUAAAUCACUCCCAUAUACAUUAAGGAUACCAUAUAUCACAAAGAUACAUGGUGUAUUUAAUGUGAAAUAUAAAGAUUUACUUGCUUUUCCUUUGUUCCAGCGCCAGCAUCUUCAUGCUUAAAGGGUGUUACACUUCGUUUAACAUUCACCUCUGCAUUGUCCUCAACUCCUCCUCCAACUCUGUUCUUCUUUGAUUUGUCCUGCUUGGGAUGCAUCCCCAAGCAAGGCCAAUCUGGUCAGUGAUGUCGGACGCCAGCGUGGGAGGAGAGUAGAGGGACCUCCCUUUUAUGCUCUCCCUUGUCAGUCAAUACCAUUGCACGCUAAGACAUUGACUGACAGCUAGGAUACCUUGGCACGCUAAGACAUUGACUGACAGCUAGGAUACCUUGGCACGCUAAGACAUUGAUUGACAGCUAGGAUACCUUGGCACGCUAAGACAUUGACUGACAGCCAGGAUACCUUGGCACGCUAAGACAUUGACUGACAGCUAGGAUACCUUGGCACGCUAAGACAUUUAUUGACAACUAGGAUACCUUGGCACGCUAAGACAUUGACUGACAGCUAGGAUACCUUGGCACGCUAAGACAUUGACUGACAGCUAGGAUACCUUGGCACGCUAAGACAUUGAUUGACAACUAGGAUACCUUGGCACGCUAAGACAUUGACUGACAGCUAGGAGAAAAACCUAUUUAUAUAGUUACACCUAAACUAUGCAAUUGCUAGCAAAACUGCUAUUAUAGCAUGAUGUACAUUUAAAAUUGCAUGCACAACUUGAUGAGCAUAAGUUGUUUGGGGCAUGACAGAUCUCCUUUAAGCUGUGAUUGCAAAAAUCCUAAAGCACUAAGCCAUAUUUAGAAAACACAUUUGGAUCGCUGAAAUGGUAUAACUGCAUGUUAGUGAACCUUAUUUUGCAUUUCUCCUUCAAUUUAGACCAUGAUGUAAAUAUAUAACAUAGAUGUGGGUGCAUUACAAUAACAGAUAAGAUCCCUUGGGAAUAAUUUUUUAUUGCAAAAACAGAAAUGUUCGCUUACUGUACAGAUGGUGUUGCCUUUAUGCCGUUUAUAUUACAUUCCCCCCUUUUUUUAUUUUUGUAAUCCUCAGCAUUUCUUUGUCUGUUGAAGCAAAUCUUACCAUAUUUAUCGGCAAAAGGCAGAACCCUCUCCAGAAAUGCCACACUUCCAUCUGCUUCAAUCUAAAUUGCAAAAGCUGUUAAUUACACCGAUAUAACUUAGUCCUUAACUCCCCCAUGUCAGAUAAAUUGCAAGGAAUAUUACUAUAUAAAUGGAUUUCCUUACCCACUUGUCAUGAUGAGGUUAAAAAAUACUUCAUGAAUAAUGUUGAUAUAAGUUAUGUCAUUUUAGCAAUGCAGGAGAAGUACUUUUGUUGUAUUGGAGCCAGUGGAGCAUAAAAGUGCAUCCUAUCUGGAAUAGAUAGUGACCGGUAGGGGUGGUUUUAUCCUCAUGUCAUCUUUUGAAAUUGGUGAUUUUAAAGAGAAAACCUAGCACUAAACAGGC
rnacentral:lncRNA from 1 species